GAUGAACGCUAGCUACAGGCUUAACACAUGCAAGUCGAGGGGAAACGAUAUUGGAAGCUUGCUUCCGAUAGGCGUCGACCGGCGCACGGGUGAGUAACGCGUAUCCAACCUGCCCACCACUUGGGGAUGACCUUGCGAAAGUAAGACUAAUACCCAAUGAUAUCUCUAGAAGACAUCUGAAGGAGAUUAAAGAUUCAUCGGUGAUGGAUGGGGAUGCGUCUGAUUAGCUUGUUGGCGGGGUAACGGCCCACCAAGGCGACGAUCAGUAGGGGUUCUGAGAGGAAGGUCCCCCACAUUGGAACUGAGACACGGUCCAAACUCCUAGGGGAGGCAGCAGUGAGGAAUAUUGGUCAAUGGGCGAGAGCCUGAACCAGCCAAGUAGCGUGCAGGAUGACGGCCCUAUGGGUUGUAAACUGCUUUUAUAAGGGAAUAAAGUGAGUCUCGUGAGACUUUUUGCAUGUACCUUAUGAAUAAGGACCGGCUAAUUCCGUGCCAGCCGCCGCCGUAA
rnacentral:rRNA from 1 species